UCAGGGCACUUGAAGAUGAGUCAGUUGCACCACAUACUCUUCUCAUUGGGGAUGACCUUACAGGAGGAGGACAGAGGGCAUCGACUGACUCAGCUGCUGCAGUUGGUCACGAGUCCAUAUUUACAGACCUUUUACAAGGGAAAGUACCUUCCUUUCCUGCUCGCCUUACAUUACUAACAGUCAGCGAGGAGGGAAGGCGAGAGCUGCAUUCCUGCCCUGUGGAGGUGAGGUCCAUGUGAGGAAAGAUCUGCUGCUCGAUUGAUGAAUCCAUCUGAAGUCCCUAACGCUGUGCCAAAACCACAGUGAAACAGAGUCACAUGAGGUGGAAUGAACAUCGAGGCCUCGUCACAGGCCACAAUGACUCAGACUUAGAGGACACACUUACUUCCACACUCACCAAUUUACCCACCCGCUAGCUCUGAGACAAACACUCAUUAUUCUCCAUACUCACAACUAUUUCUGCACAUUCUGAGAACUUGGUUUUACCGCUUCUCAAAAGUGCCACGUGUUGUAUAGCAGAAGAAAGUGAAUCUUGUUUUUGAUGAGGAUACAGGUUUAUCCCGUUCCCACACGUGAAGAGCGAGAACAACAUGAAUGAGGUAUUGGUACAGAGCCAAUAUUGGGCCUUUUUAAGCUCUUAAAGGGAAAAAAUAGCACUUGUGGUCAACCGAACCGCAAAUAUUUGCCUGGCGUGGUUUACUGUAGUCAUCACAAUUCUUUGGUGGCAAAUGUAGUCGUUUUUCCCAAUAACAUCGUAAAAUUUGAGAGAUAACCUUUCAUAAUAAAAAACAGCAAACUGGACAAAUCUGAGGAAAUCUAACAGCAUCCCAGACCGUUAAUUGGCAAUACAACUUGGCUCUGCUGCUUGGUAGCUUAAGCAAUGGUACACUUUUAGAAAGAAAAGUUAUUCGGCUGUCCCCAUAGGAGAACCAUUUUUGGUUCCUAUGUGGAAAGGGUUCUACAUAGAACCCAAAAAGGUUACACCGGGAAACAAAAAGUGUUCUCCAAAAGGGUUUUCCUAUGGCAACAACCGAAGAACCCUUUUAAGUUCUACCAUAGCAAAAAAAGAGUGUACCACAAAUCAUGUUGUCACAAAGCUGAUUGGUGGAACAAGGGUCAGUGUGACAGAGUUUUACUGUAGUCAUCACAAUUCUUUUGUAACAAAUGAAGCCUUGUUUUUUCCAUUUGCUAUUAACAAUAAGACACACCUCUUCAUCCUCAAAAUUGAUAGAGAACAUUUUCAUAACACAAUGAAAUAGGACACACUUGAGGAGUAAUUGGUUAUACAACACAGGGCACCUGAUUGGUAGAUUUAUCUGUAGCGUCAUAAAUAAAAAAAUAAAACAUCA